rnacentral:rRNA from 1 species
GGGUAGCCGGCCUGAGAGGGCGACCGGCCACACUGGGACUGAGACACGGCCAGACACCUACGGGAGGCAGCAGUGGGGAAUAUUGGGCAAUGGAGGAAACUCUGACCCAGCGACGCCGCGUGAGGGAUGAAGGCCUUCGGGUUGUAAACCUCUUUCAGUAGGGAAGAAGCGAAAGUGACGGUACCUACAGAAGAAGCACCGGCUAACUAUGUGCCAGCAGCCGCGGUAAUACAUAGGGUGCAAGCGUUGUCCGGAAUUAUUGGGCGUAAAGAGCUCGUAGGUGGUUCGAUACGUCGGAUGUGAAAAUCAGGGGCUCAACCCCUGACCUGCAUUCGAUACGGUCUAGCUAGAGUGUGGUAGGGGAGACUGGAAUUCCU